UACGGAGGGUGCAAGCGUUGCUCGGAAUUAUUGGGCGUAAAGGGUAGGUAGGUGGUCUCAUUUGUCUGGGGUGAAAGCCUUGAGCUUAACUCAAGAAGUGCCCCAGAAACGGUGAGACUAGAGUCCUGGAGAGGGUCGUGGAAUUCCCGGUGUAGCGGUGAAAUGCGCAGAUAUCAGGAGGAACACCGAUGGCGAAGGCAGUUCUCUGGGCCGUAACUGACGCUGAGGAGCGAAAGCGUGGGGAGCGAACAGG
rnacentral:rRNA from 1 species